GCCUAGUUAGUGACAGUGGUAGAACAGUUCCUUGGUACGGAACAGGUCGUGGGUUCGAUUCCCACACUAGGCUC
rnacentral:tRNA from 3 species